UGAGGAAUAUUGGUCAAUGGGCGCAAGCCUGAACCAGCCAUCCCGCGUGAAGGAAGAAGGCGCUAUGCGUUGUAAACUUCUUUUCCAGGGGAAUAAAAUUCUGUACGUGUACGGAAUUGAAGGUACCCUGGGAAUAAGCAUCGGCUAACUCCGUGCCAGCAGCCGCGGUAAUACGGAGGAUGCAAGCGUUAUCCGGAUUUAUUGGGUUUAAAGGGUGCGCAGGCGGAGUAGUAAGUCAGUGGUGAAAACCUGCAGCUUAACUGUAGAAUUGCCGUUGAUACUGCUGCUCUUGAGUAUGGUCAAGGUAGGCGGAAUGUGUAAUGUAGCGGUGAAAUGCUUAGAUAUUACACAGAACACCGAUUGCGAAGGCAGCUUGCUGGGCCAUUACUGACGCUCAUGCACGAAAGCGUGGGGAUCGAACA
rnacentral:rRNA from 1 species